rnacentral:rRNA from 1 species
GAUGAACGCUGGCGGCGUGCCUAAUACAUGCAAGUCGAGCGAAUGGACUAAGAGCUUGCUCUUAUGAAGUUAGCGGCGGACGGGUGAGUAACACGUGGGUAACCUGCCCAUAAGACUGGGAUAACUCCGGGAAACCGGGGCUAAUACCGGAUAACAUUUUGAACCGCAUGGUUCGAAAUUGUAAGGCGGCUUCGGCUGUCACUUAUGGAUGGACCCGCGUCGCAUUAGCUAGUUGGUGAGGUAACGGCUCACCAAGGCAACGAUGCGUAGCCGACCUGAGAGGGUGAUCGGCCACACGGGGACUGAGACACGGCCCGGAGUCCUACGGGAGGCAGCAGUAGGGAAGCGUCCGCAAUGGACGAAAGUCUGACGGAGCAACGCCGCGUGAGUGAUGAAGGCUUUCGGGUCGUAAAACUCUGUUGUUAGGGAAGAACAAGUGCUAGUUGAAUAAGCUGGCACCUUGACGGUACCUAACCAGAAAGCCACGGCUAACUACGUGCCAGCCGCCGCCGUAA